GAUCAUUAUCGAACAAGAAGGGGGAAAGACUGUCGCUGGCGAAAGCAUGUGCACGUCCAACCUUUUCUAUUACACACCCGUGCACCUUUUGUAGGUCCUCGAAAGAGGAUCUAUGUAUUUCAUCAUCACACCUAUCGUAUGUCUAGAAUGUCAUCGUCGACCACUGGGCGGCGAAAUAAAUAAUACAACUUUCAGCAACGGAUCUCUUGGCUCUCGCAUCGAUGAAGAACGCAGCGAAUUGCGAUAAGUAAUGUGAAUUGCAGAUUUUCAGUGAAUCAUCGAAUCUUUGAACGCACCUUGCGCUCCUUGGUAUUCCGAGGAGCAUGCCUGUUUGAGUGUCAUUAAAUUCUCAACCAUGACUUUGUUGACAUGGCUUGGAGUUGGGGGUUGCUGGCUUGUUUGUCAGCUCUCCUGAAAUACAUUAGCGGUGGACAAGCAAGGCCUUCCGACGUGAUAAUGAUCGUCGUGGGGCGGAGCAUCAACGUCUGUCUGCUUCUAAAUCCCAGAUGCCUUAGCUAGACAUCAUUUCGAACGCUUGACCUCAAAUCAGGUAGGACUACCCGCUGAACUUAAGCAUA
rnacentral:sRNA from 1 species